UACGUAUGGAGCAAGCGUUAUCCGGAUUUACUGGGUGUAAAGGGAGUGUAGGUGGCCAGGCAAGUUAGAAGUGAAAGCCCGGGGCUCAACCCCGGGACUGCUUUUGAAACUGCAGGGCUAGAGUGCAGGAGGGGCAAGUGGAAUUCCUAGUGUAGCGGUGAAAUGCGUAGAUAUUAGGAGGAACACCAGUGGCGAAGGCGGCUUGCUGGACUGUAACUGACACUGAGGCUCGAAAGCGUGGGGAGCAAACAGG
rnacentral:rRNA from 1 species